GAUGAAGAACGUAGCGAAAUGCGAUACGUAAUGUGAAUUGCAGAAUUCAGUGAAUCAUCGAGUCUUUGAACGCACAUUGCGCCCCCUGGUAUUCCGGGGGGCAUGCCUGUCCGAGCGUCAUUGCUGCCCUCAAGCACGGCUUGUGUGUUGGGCCUCCGUCCUCCUCCCGGGGGACGGGCCCGAAAGGCAGCGGCGGCACCGCGUCCGGUCCUCGAGCGUAUGGGGCUUCGUCACCCGCUCUUGUAGGCCCGGCCGGCGCUUGCCGACACAUCAAUCUUUUUUCCAGGUUGACCUCGGAUCUGGUAGGGAUACCCGCUGAACUUAAGCAUAUCAAUAAGCGGAGGA
rnacentral:misc_RNA from 1 species